rnacentral:rRNA from 1 species
UGGGGAAUAUUGGACAAUGGGGGAAACCCUGAUCCAGCAAUGCCGCGUGAGUGAAGAAGGCCUUAGGGUUGUAAAGCUCUUUCGCCCGCGAAGAUAAUGACGGUAGCGGGAGAAGAAGCCCCGGCUAACUCCGUGCCAGCAGCCGCGGUAAUACGGAGGGGGCUAGCGUUGUUCGGAAUUACUGGGCGUAAAGCGUACGUAGGCGGAUGCGCAAGUUGGGGGUGAAAUCCCGGGGCUUAACCUCGGAAUUGCCCUCAAAACUGCACGUCUUGAGACCGAGAGAGGUAAGGGGAAUUCCUAGUGUAGAGGUGAAAUUUGUAGAUAUUAGGAAGAACACCAGUGGCGAAGGCGCCUUACUGGCUCGGUACUGACGCUGAGGUACGAAAGCGUGGGGAGCAAACA